UACGUAGGGUCCGAGCGUUGUUCGGAAUUACUGGGCGUAAAGCGCACGUAGGCGGCUUUGCAAGUUAGAUGUGAAAGCCCGGGGCUCAACUCCGGAAUUGCCUUUAAAACUGCAUCGCUAGAAUUGUGGAGAGGUAAGUGGAAUUCCGAGUGUAGAGGUGAAAUUCGUAGAUAUUCGGAAGAACACCAGUGGCGAAGGCGACUUACUGGACACAUAUUGACGCUGAGGUGCGAAAGCGUGGGGAGCAAACAGG
rnacentral:rRNA from 1 species